AGUUAAGAUGAGAAAUGCUGACCCGAAAGGAAGAAGCAGAGGCGAAAUGAAUGAAGCUGCCUGACGAGGAGCUGUACGGAAAUAAGAGUAAUUCAGUGAUGGGGUCCAAGCAUCCUGAAUAUAAGCGGUCCAUGUCAAGAAAGAGCCAAAGGGCGUCCUCAGGACAUGGAAGAGGGGCAUUCCAGGCUGGCAGCUGGGGAGGCCCAGAGAGCCCUGGAGAAGAUCUGAAGUCCAUUGCAGAGCUUUCUUUAAGACUACUGAAUUGUACAGAAGAAGCAGAAAUGAAAAAAAA
rnacentral:lncRNA from 1 species